GUGUUGCCAACAUCAGACAUUUCCCAGCUCCGGUGUCGCCAACGUCAGACGAUUCCCAGCUCCAAUGUUAUCUGAGGUCGGAUGAUUCCCAGCUCCGACGUCCUCCCCAACAUUGGACAUUUCCCAGCUCCGGUGUCGCCAACGUCAGACGAUUCCCAGCUCCAAUGUUAUCUGAGGUCGGAUGAUUCCUGGCUCCGACAUCCCCAACGUUGGAUGUUUCCCAGCUCUGGUGUUGCUCCAGGUCGGACAUUUCCCAGCUCCGGUGUCACCAACGUCAGACGAUUCCCAGCUCCAAUGUUAUCUGAGAUCGGAUGAUUCCCAGCUCCGAUGUCCCCAAAGUAGGACAAUUCCCAGCUCUGAUGUUAUCUGAGGUCAGAUGAUUCUUGGCUCCGACGUCCCCAACGUUGGAUGUUUCCCGGCUCCGGUGUUGCUCCAGGUUGGACGUUUCCCAGCUCCGGUGCCGCCAACGUCGGACAAUUCCCAGCUCUGAUAUUAUCUGAGGUCGGAUGAUUCUUGGCUCCAACGUCCUCAACGUUGGGUGUUUCCCGGCUCCAGUGUUGCUCCAGGUUGGAUGUUUCCCGGCUCCGGUGUCGCCAACAUUGGACAUUUCCCAGCUCCGGUGUCGCCAACGUCAGACAAUUCCCAGCUCUAAUGUUAGCUGAGAUCAGAUGAUUCCCAGCUCCGACGUCCCCAACGUUGGCGUUUCCCAGCUCCGGUGUUGCUCCAGGUUGGACGUUUCCCAGCUCCGGUGCCGCCAACGUCAGACGAUUCCCAGCUCCAAUGUUAGCUGAGAUCAGAUGAUUCCCAGCUCCGACGUCCCCAACGUUGGACGUUUCCCAGCUCCGGUGUUGCUCCAGGUUGGAUGUUUCCCAGCUCCGGUGUCGCCAACGUCAGACGAUUCCCAGCUCCAAUGUUAUCUGAGGUCAGAUGAUUCCCAGCUCCGAUGUCCCCAAAGUUGGACGAUUCCCGGCUCUUGGUGUCCCCCCAGGUUGGAUGUUUCCCAGCUCCGAUGUCCCCAACAUCGGAGGUUUCCCAGCUCCAAUGUCACCCCAGGUCCGAUGUCUGCUGGCUCCAGUGUCCCCAACAUCAGACGCUUCCCGGCUCCGAUGUCCCCAACAUCAGACGUUUCCCGGCUCCGGGGGACCCUCAAGGUCAGACGUUCCCCGAUUUCAGCGUCCCCCCAGGUCGGACGUUGCCCAGCUCCGAUGUUCCUCGUGUCGGAUGUUUCCUGACUCCAAUGGCCCCAACGUCGGACACUUCCCAUCUCCGAUGUCCCCAACGUUGGGCUUUUCCUGGCUCCGACGUCCCUCCGGGUCAAGCCGUUGGCUGGCGCUGCCGGUUUCGGUGUUCGUUGACUCUGGUGGACCUCCAGGUCGGACAUCCGUUGGCUCCGGCAUCCGCUUGGGUGUCGGCCGGCUCCGGCGUCCCCCAACUCGGACAUUUCCCGGCUCCGACGUCUCCCACGUUGGACGCUCGCCGGCGCCGCCGGUUUUGGUGUCGGCCGGAUUCAAUAUCGGCCGGUUUUGGUGUCCACCAGCUCCGACACCUGCGGGUCGGACACUGCCUGUCCCCGUCACCCCGUUUUCCGUCCCCGUCGCCCCGUUUUCCGUCUCCGCCGCCCGCCGGCUUCAACGUCCCCCCAGGUGAGACGUUUCCCAGUGCCAAAACCCGCCGGUUUUGGUGUUUGCCAGCUCCAACAUCUGCCGGUUUUGGUGUCCACCAGCUCCGGCACCCGCAGGUGGGACAUUUCCCGGCUCCGUCACCCGUUGGCUUCAACGUCCUCCAGCUCGGAUGUUUUCCAGUGCCAAAAAACACUGGUUUUGGUGUCCACCAGCUCCAACAUCUCCUGAUUUUGGUGUCUGCCACCUCCAACAUCUGCCAGUUUUGGUGUCCGCCAGCUCCAACAUCUGUUUUUGGUGUCCGCCAGCUCCAACAUCUGCCAGUUUUGGUGUCCACCAGCUCCAACAUCUCCUGGUUUUGGUGUCCACCAGCUCCAACAUCUGGUUUUGGUGUCCGCCAGCUCCAACAUCUCCUGAUUUUGGUGUCCGCCAGCUCCAACAUCUGCUGGUUUUGGUGUCUGCUGGCUCCAACACCUGCCGGUUUUG
rnacentral:lncRNA from 1 species